UCCUACGUUCUCUUCACUGUUGUACACAUAACCACAGUCAAUAUAGCGGAAGCCAGCGUCUAUUGCUAAUUUGGUGAUAUCCAAGUAUUUACUCGUGGGAACCUCAGCAACUUCUGCAGUGCCGAAGCCCAGUACAGGCAUGAAGUGACCAUCAUUUAAUUCCACACAUUCAUGUUUGGAAUUCAUC